rnacentral:rRNA from 1 species
UACAGAGGGUGCUAGCGUUGUUCGGAAUUACUGGGCGUAAAGGGCGCGUAGGCGGCUUGAUAAGUGAGAUGUGAAAUCUCGGGGCUUAACUCCGAAAGUGCAUUUCAAACUGUCAGGCUAGAGUGCAGUAGAGGUUGGUGGAAUUCCCAGUGUAGAGGUGAAAUUCGUAGAUAUUGGGAGGAACACCGAUGGCGAAGGCAGGUCUCUGGGCAUUAACUGACGCUGAGGAGCGAAAGCAUGGGGAGCGAACAGG